CCAAUAGCGUAUAUUAAAGUUGUUGCAGUUAAAAAGCUCGUAGUUGAAUUUCGGGAUCAAUACGUCGGUCGUGCCUCUGGUAUGUACUGGUGUUGUUGGUUUCUCCUUUCUGAGGAGCCAUGAUGCCAUUAAUUUGGUGUCGUGGGGAAUCAGGACUGUUACUUUGAAAAAAUUAGAGUGUUUAAAGCAGGCACACGCUUGAAUACAUUAGCAUGGAAUAAUGAAAUAGGACGUUCGAUUCUAUUUUGUUGGUUUCUAGGAUCAACGUAAUGAUUAAUAGGGAUAGUUGGGGGCAUUAGUAUUCAAUUGUCAGAGGUGAAAUUCUUGGAUUUAUUGAAGACUAACUACUGCGAAAGCAUUUGCCAAGGAUGUUUUCAUUAAUCAAGAACGAAAGUUAGGGGAUCGAAGACGAUCAGAUACCGUCGUAGUCUUAACCAUAAACUAUGCCGACUAGGGAUCGGAUGAUGUUAAUUUUUUAAUGACUCAUUCGGCGCCUUACG
rnacentral:rRNA from 1 species